UAGAGACAAAAUACUGUUAAUCUGACUAUCUGCAGGUUUUAGACGCUUACAUACACACGCAGUUACAGUCCCUCCAUUUACAAAGGCAGAGGCCGGGUUCGAUUCCCGGCCAAUGCAGUCUAAUUUUCUUCUUCUUUUCUUUGUGUCAUGAGACGUGUGCAACUAUAGAAAAUGAGACUGCAUUGGCCGGGAAUCAAACCUGGGCCUUAACAGCUUUUUUGUACUCCAAGUGCUUCUGCUUCAAAUGAUGAAAUAGGUUUGUAGUGUUUCCUCUCUUCGCCGCGACGGCCCGCUUGCAUGUUCUACGAAAAAAUUGUGCUUUGGUGGGUAUCGGAUGGACGAAAACCAAACCACUUCCACACCACUGAAGUUGCACCAUUUUUACUGACCAAUUCUGCUUCACCCGUUUCAUUCAAAGAUGCGCUUUUGUCCAUGUCAUUGUCCAUCGCCGCCAUACUUUUUCUGCCAUGUGCGUAUGAGCAUAUAAAAACAAAGGCACUGCGCAUUUUACCCAUAUUCUAUUGCGAUAUUUCAUUUUCUUAUCGUUGCCUAACGUUAUGCUAGUAUUACCGUGAACGGUAUAAUGUGGCCCAGCCCUAUUGCUGAGUUUUGUGAAGAUGUGUAGGGAUCGAAGGCAACGUGCUAUGUUGUUAGCAAAAGAGGCUCUCUGUGUAUCCCAGGUUAACACGAAGAAAUGGUUUGAUAGUAAAGCACUAAAAAGGCAAUUUCAGCCUGGGGUCCGUCCCUGGUUCUGCUCUUGGGCCCCUAUUUUAUAGUGAAGAAGGUGACAGGUGUUCACAUUAAAAAAAUAAGAGUUUGGCAAGGCAACAGUAACGUACCUAGGUAAGCAGGUUGGUUUUGGACAGGCAAAGAUUGUCGUAGUCUUGAACUAUCCGACUCCGACCACCAGGCAGGAGCUAAAGCAGUUCCUCGGUAUGAUAUUACCGGUGUUUCUGUAAAAACUUCUCUGCCAAUGUGGUUCUUUUAACCAGGUUAUGUAGCCCAAAGGUACAAUUGUAGAGUGCCAGCAUGCAUUCGAGUGAGCAAAUUCCUUCCACUGCAGCGCCCCUGUCUUAGCGGCUCCUGAUUCUCUCAACCUUUCAAGCUAGAUGUUGAUGCUAGUGCCACUGGAGCUGAUGUUGUGUUAUUGCAGGAUGAUGAGGCGUGCGUGUGUCAUCCUGUCUUGUUUUUUCUAUAUCAAGUUGAAAUGCCAUCAGCAGAACUAUUCUACUGUAGAGAAGGAAGCACAAGCUCUGCUUCUUGCCCUGCAGCAUUUUGCAGUGCAUGUUGGCUCCAGCUCCUCUCUGGUUACUGUACUCACAGACCACAAUCCUGUCGUUUUUCUUCACCGAAUGUACAAUGAUAACCAACGACUGGGCACUGCUGGCACAGGAUUAUAAUCUUGUGAUUAAGCAUAAGAAAGAGACUGACAACAUAGUAGCUGACGCACUCUCACGCAGCUCAUAGUGAAGUGUUUUGUAGCCAACAAUCCUAAAUGUGCUACUGGGCUGUGGGACCGUCCUCUGUCUUCUGUGCAAAGGGUGCUGCAGCGUGCAUUGGUGGUUCAGUGGUAGAAUUCUCGCCUGCCACGCGGGAGGCCCGGGUUCGAUUCCCGGCCAAUGCAACACCUACUUUUGUUCCCUUUUUUUUCACACACACACACACACACUAUAUAACAAUAUAUACACAGUUAAGUCUGUAAUUAUCCAUACCCCUGGCAAAUUUUGUCUUAAAGUUACUUUUAUUCAACCCGCAAAUUUAUUUUUUGUUUUGACUGGAAAGGACACAGGCAGACACUCACAACUAGAACAAAACUGUCUACAAUAUCAACUGUUUCUUCCUCAUUAGUUUUUUUUCUUCCAUCCAUCUAAGUCUCUCUGCCUCAUAGAAAGCAGACUCCUGAAACUCCUUCCAGGUCAUUUCUUUGUCCAUGCCUUUGUCUCUGUAUAGAGUACACUUUCAAAGGGCAGCAAAUAUAGUUUUCCUGCCACUUCAGGGAAGCCUGUAUGAAUGUGUGGACUAUUUGGUCCCUGUGGCUGAAUCUGCAGAGGUAGCGUCCGGUUCCCUCUGGAAAAAUUCUGUCUGAACAAAUUCUUCAAAGGGCAUUUUAGGGUUACUGAUUCCCUCAGCAGCAUAACUUUGAUGUAUCUUCUUUGAACAAUAGAAAUACGGCACAGGCCCUCGAUGGUAAAAAAAAAUAGUGGAUGGAAGAUCCAUCUGUCUCAUACUGGGACUUGGGCUGUCCACAGGCAAGACAAAUCUUUCUGCCUUCCUUCCUCAGGUUGCUCCUGCUGUUGAUUCUCUAAGAUGUGUUCCACCAUCUUCUCUAUUGAGUCUUGUGUCAGAGGUGUAGACAGGGCAGGAGGAGGUGGGUUUAAGUAAGCUGGCUCCAUGGUGACCACAGGAAUACUGGUUGUCUCACUCCCUUCUGUUAAAGAGUGCCACAGUUGCUGAGUCUGCAGAAGUUUUUCUGGGCUUGUGUUCAAAGAAGUGUUUAGAAGCUUAGCCAAGUGUUUCACAUAACGGGAUAUGUGUAGCUUGGAUGUGCGGUGCAGCAAGCUGUUGAGAUCAGUACACUAGGUCCUGCUUCACAGGUGCAGACUUGUCCUGAAGCUCAUUUUUAAUCCUUGUAUCUUCAUCCGAUGGGUCCUGGAGAAGGUAUUGAAGUGGCUCCUUGUGGAACGCCACAGAUUUUCCCUGAGUAGAAUACAACUUUCUUGUGAAUCUUGACAUACAAUCAUCAAUGGUCAUGACAAUUUGCAUAUUAAUGAUAAUGAAACUGGCCUCACAGCCCAUUGUUUAUUUAGUGGACUAGUUUCAGUCUGUGUGCAAAUGUACUGUUUAGAAGUUUGGGGAAACCUGCAUCCAGCUGAGACUAAAGAAGUCAUUUGGAUGAGUGACGAAACGUUUCUCCCACUGAAAACACUACGUCCAGAUGUACAGAAUCAACUUUUUGGAAUUUACUUUCUGGGAUGAUUGAGCAUACAUCAAGACAGAAUAGUUCAUAAUUUACCAUGCCUUUUUAUCACAGCUGAUAAAAUGUAACCGUCUUUAACCAAGUGAUGGACGUUUUCUUACACUAAUCAAGUAAAUGAAAUCACAGUGAACACUUCUCUUACCUUUAAAAUACACCUGCAAUUUUUAAUCUAUUGGUUUACUCUUAUUUUAAACAACGUUUAUUACCUUUGACGAAUGAACAAGGAUCGCUGAGAUCUGUUGCAAGUGGUGCAUAACUUGUCUUUUUUCCUGAAAUUUAAAAGUGGAAAUUGUUUAAAACUGCCAGGUCUCAAACUCGCAACAGCGCCGGAAGGGUCACAGUGGUGAAUAAUAUAUUAAAUCCGUAGUUUAGCACUACCAUAGAGAAUGAAUGGGAAACUGUUUAGACCUGUUGAGCUAAACAAUCCCAGCCUCCCAUGCAGGAGGCCUGUGUUUGAUUCCUGGCCACUGCAGAAAUUCCUACAGCAAACAAUCCUUUUUAAAUUCAACUCAGUAACUCCAAGUAGGCUGGUGUUACAUCCUGUGAGGCUGUGGGAGUGUGUGGGUGUGGCGUUGCUCUCUCUCUCCCCCUCCUCCUCUCUAGCUCCACCCCUCUCUGUCUCUUUUUCUCUCUGCCCUCUCUCCACGACAGAGCUGCUGCUCACUCCCUCAUUUGGCACCAGGACCCAGUCAGCAAUUAACUCUCAGAUGUUAUAUAGGGCUGGGGAAGAACUGUGUGGUUUUGGGUUUUUUUUCUCUUCAUCUUUGCACUGCUUUCUAUUGAAUGAAGAGGUCCUAUGGUGUGGUUGUCCUUGCUGCAGUAUGGAGUUGUGAAAGCAGUGGGGAGGUUGCUACAUUGGUAGCGUGGGCUUGUGGGCCUCAGCAGCAGUAAGGUGUGUGUUGCUAGUAAUGGUUAGGGUGGGCCUGUGGGCUCCAGAAGUGCAUUUUUCUUUGUUGUUUGUUUGUUCAUCCUCCUUUAGACACAUAAGACUUAGUUGUGACCUUUUUUCUUUCUAUCUUAUUGAUAAAGCAGUGUUGCCAUCUCUUUGUGUUAGGAUUGUUUGUAAUAAAAACGUAAUAUUUGCCAUACUGCUCUGUUUGGCUCCCUUCUCAUUCUUUCCCGGUUCUAUUUGUUACUGUUCCCCACGUCUUUGCUGAGACCUUAUUUGUGGGGACGUAACAAUGUGGGGGUUCGUCCAGGAUCUCAGUGAAAGGAAUUGAAACAGCUUUGUAUGAGUUUUGGUGUCUGUAUGUUGUUCUCGGGUUGCUUGCUUAACUCUGGUGUAUUUGGGACUCUCUCCCCAGUUAGCGCAGGUGAGUGUCUAGCUGAGUGUAAUCUCUUCCUUCAGACACUCGUUCUUUAUUUUGCCUUUUUUAUUUUCGGAGUAAUCCCGGGUGGGGAUUAGGUCCCUGUCGGGGGUAGGCUUUUCAGUGCUUUGAGCACUGAAGGUUCGCCUUUAAAGUUGCCUCGAGCCUGGUACACUCCAGAAGCUAGGUAGGCUAGCAUUCGAGGGUAGGUAGGACUGAGGAGAGGUUCCAUGGUAUUGUUAUUCAUUGUUUAGCCCCAAGGGUAUAUGUUUCCCCCUUCCUUUGGAGUGUGUGUUAGAUGUCUCUCUUUUAUUGGUAUUGUUAGCCCUGAAGUAUUGUUGAUAAAGUAGCUAAUGGUGCCUAAGAGCAGGCGCAAAGUGUGGUUGAGCCAGCUACCGAAUCUGAGAAUCCCUCCACUUACCCAUCAUUAGCCAAAUGUCUUACCGCUGCGCCUGAAGAUGAUGGUACAAAGGGGGGUAAGUAGCAAAAAUGUUUGGCUUCUGACGGUUUGUUGAUACACAGGUGGAGUCCAAUGUCAGGAGACAAGUACAGUUCAGCAGAUAGUGUUUCCAAUUUUCACCAGCAGGUGCUACGGUUAGCACAUGAACAUUCAUAGUCCGGUCAUUUGGGUGUUACAAGACAUAUGACCGCAUAUUGGAACAUUUCUUUUGGCCAGCAAUGAAAGCAGAUGUGGUGCAGUUAUGUAACACAGCAUGCAGUUCCAGCAUGCGUUCGAGUCAGCAAAUUCCUUCCACUGCAGCGCCCCUGUCUUAGCGGCUCUUGAUUCUCUCAACCUUUCAAGCUCAAUGUUGAUGCUAGUGCCACUGGAGCUGGUGCUGUGUUAUUGCGGGAUGAUGAGGCGUGCGUGUGCCAUCCUGUUUUUUCUAUAUCAAGUUGAAAUGCCAUCAGCAGAACUAUUCUACUAUAGAGAAGGAAGCACAAGCUCUGCUUCUCGCCCUGCAGCAUGUUGCAGUGCAUGUUGGCUCCAGCUCCUCUCUGGUAACUGUACUCACAGACCACAAUCCUGUCGUUUUUCUUCACCGAAUGUACAAUGAUAACCAACGACCGAUGCACUGGGCACUGCUGGCACAGGAUUAUAAUCUUGUGAUUAAGCAUAAGAAAGAUACUGACAACAUAGUAGCUGACGCACUCUCACGCAGCUCACAGUGAAGUGUUUUGUAGCCAACAAUCCUAAAUGUGCUACUGGGCUGUGGGACCGUCCUCUGUCUUCUGUGCAAAGGGUGCUGCAGCAUGCAGUGGUGGUUCAGUGGCAGAAUUCUCGCCUGCCACGCGGGAGGCCCGGGUUCGAUUCCCCGCCAAUGCAGCACCUGUUUUUCUUUCCUUUUUUUCCCCCCCCACACACUAUAUAACAAUAUAUACACAGUUAAGCCUGUAAUUAUCCAUACCCCUGGCAAAUUUUGUCUUAAAGUUACUUUUAUUCAACCCGCAAAUUUAUUUUUUGUUUUGACUGGAAAGGACACAGGCAGACACUCACAGCUAGAACAAAACUGUCUUAUAUACAAUAUCAAUUGUUUCUUCCUCAUUUCUUUUCCUUUUUUCCUUCCAUCUAAGUCGCCCUGCCUCAUAGAAAGCAGACUCCUGAAACUCCUUCCAGGUCAUUUCCUUGUCCACGCCUUUGUCUCUGUAUAGAGUACACUUUCAAAGGGCAGCAAAUAUAGUUUUCCUGCCACUCCAGCGAAGCCCGUAUGAAUGUGUGGACUAUUUGGUCCCUGUUUCAGGUCCCUGUGGCUGAAUCUGCUUUUCCUCCAUCCUUCUCUUCUCCCUCUUCUUGGUAGCAUCCGGUUCCCUCUGGAAAAAUUCUGUCUGAGCAAAUUCUUCAAAGGGCAUUUUAGGGUUACCGAUUCCCUCAGCAGCAUAACUUUGAUGCACCUUGUUGGAACAAUAGGAAUAGCACCAGAGAAAGGGUGGGUGACAGGUGGUGCUGGUGCGAGGGAUGCCACACCUAGCGGUGCCAGGCUGGAGGAGGGUCCCACUGCUGGAACCUGAAGUUGGGCAGCCACAGGUUUUGGAACAGAGGAUGGGGGCUGAAGGGCAGCCGGUUCAUCUUUUCUCAGGGUUUUGUGUUUGUCCCAGUUCAGAGUGACUGGACGGCAGCCUGGCUCUCUGUAUUCAAGCCCAAAUCGCUCACCAGUGUCUCUGUCAGAGAGGUGAAGUGCAGGGUACUUCUCCUGACCAGUCCACUAGAGCUGGAUCAAAAACAGAAGGGAGAAUGACACCUGGCUGCUUACGGUCCACCAGUCUUUGGUAGUUCCAUCGUGCCACACCUGUCAUGCCCUGGGCCUGGAAUAGUUCAGUGGAUACAUGAGUCCCGGUGAUCCACUGGGCCUGGUGGAAAUGAUAACCCUCCUGCUGUGAAGUGCCUCGGACAGGAAUCCAGAUGGGGACCUUGGCACCUUCACCAGGGACAUGGUUAAGCUGAAGAGUCCCACCGUACCGAAACAUUACACCCUCUGAGAGCUCAGGGUCACUGAGGCAGCCACGCAGAAUGUGGACUCUCUGAACGCGCCACGCCUUCAGCAUGGUUGGCUUGAAGAGUGGGAGGUUGUUGGGGUCUGUGGCCAGGUGAAAAUGGUUCAGGAUCUUUUCCACUCUGUUCAGCAGUUCAGUGGGUUGUGGUAUUUGGAUCCUGCAGUGCUCCCGUAUGUGUUGCUUUGUGGGAUUAGCAGGAUGGAUGCCACAGAACUUAUAAGCAUGGAGCCUUUUCAGGUCUGCCUGAUCAACCACUGAGAAUGCAGCAGAGAGAAGCUGGCAGAAAGUGCUGAACAGAAGAUGAUGCUCAGAGGUGCAAUCUCGCGAAAAUCGCCUCAGGCAGUGGAACAGGUUCAGUUUUACAAUAAUGUUCUUAUUGUAGUGGGUUCGAGAGGCACAGCUGUUUGCCACUGGUCCAGAUGUGGCCACAGCAAUAACAGCAGGAGUAGUUUUCCAGGCAUCCCACGAUAGAUUUUCACCAGGGAUACAGUCUGGGUUCUUAAAUGGAGCACAGCAAUCCCUAAAUGUAAGAAAUACAAAUACAUGUAAGUAUAUGGAAUAUUAUAUGUGUGCAUCAAAUUGAUCUUAAAAAGGAAAAACUCAGUUUGUCCAGACAGAUUAGCAGUUUGAAUGACAAGGAUGAUUACGGUUUUUACCUGUCCACCCAGUCGUAGCCGGCCUUUUCCACUCCUGCAUCACUGUACCUCUUGGCCAUUCCCUGGUACAUGGGCUCCAAGGACCUUUCUGUCUCAGACUGAACCAUGACCCACGAAACAAUCAGCCAGUUUUCAUUCAUUAUGGAAUAACUGGACAUGACCCCAGAUGCCAGUGUGACUUUUCGUGCCGCCUUCCUGGUGUGGUCAGACCUGAAGAUGUGGCCAAAAGUGCCCGGGAGGAGUUUGGAUAUGGCUGGAUGUUGACGUCGGAAUUCGUCGAGCAGGCAGUCUGUCAGGAACUGCCCAAUGGUCCUCUGUCCAUGAGCUCCUGCCUCAGAAUCCCAGACCGAUCCUGUGGCAUGGAGGUACGCCAGGUGAGCUCGCUUGUACUUGAGGUGCAUGAGUUCAUUUAUUGGGUUUGCCAUGUCUGCUGGAGGUUUGCCAGUCCUCCUGAGCUCAUCCAUAACAGACUUGCAGAUGGCCUUUUUGUAUGUAAGAAAAGCAGGGAGAAGGUUGGUAAACCUUUUAGACAGUUUCUCUAGCCAUCGUGGAUUGUCAGCAAACCAGUUCCUGCGACAAGCCCUGCUGCAGAGUCGUGAGGAGAGGAUGUUAUACUGACCACUGGUGCCAACAAGUACUCGUGGCCUGCCCACACCAGCAGAGACCACUUGUGAACGAAAGCAACCAUGGAGACAUGGCAAGAUAUAAUGGUUUCUUAACCUGACCAUGAUAGCACUCUCAGGUUUCCAA